rnacentral:rRNA from 1 species
CAAAACAUGUCUUAUUGAUAAUAAUUUUAAGUCAAUCUGCCCAAUGAUAAUUUAUUAAAUGGCUGCAGUAUAAUUGACUGAACAAAGGUAGCAUAAUCAAUUGAUUUUUAAAUGAAAUCUGGAAUGAAUGGAUUAAUGAAAUAUAAACUGUCUCAUAUAUACUUUUUGAAUUUAAAAUUUUAAUAAAAAUGUUAAAAUUUUUUUAUGGGACGAUAAGACCCUAUAGAAUUUUAUAUAAAAUUUAUUUUUAAAUUUAAUUUAAAUUUUAUUUUUAUAUUUAAUUGGGAGAAUUAUUAAAUUUAAAAAAUUUUAAUUUUUGUAAACUUAAAUUAAAGAAAAAUUGUUGAUCUUUAAUUUUUAAUUUUUAGAAUAAAUUACCUUAGGGAUAACAGCGUUAUAUUUUUUUAUAGAUCUUAUAGAAAAAAAUGAUUGCGACCUCGAUGUUGAAUUAAGAUAAAUUUUAAAUGUAGAAGUUUAAUAAUUAAGUCUGUUCGACUUUUAAAAUCUUACAUGAUUUGAGUUCAAAUCGACGUAAGU